rnacentral:rRNA from 1 species
AUUGAACGCUGGCGGCAGGCCUAACACAUGCAAGUCGAGCGAGCGGCGGACGGGUGAGUAAUGUCUGGGAAACUGCCUGAUGGUGGGGGGUAACUACUGGAAACGGUAGCUAAUACCGCAUACCAUCAGAUGUGCCCAGAUGGGGGUAGCUAGUAGGUGGGGUAACGGCGCACCUAGGCGACGAUCCCUAGCUGGUCUGAGAGGAUGACCAGCCACACUGGAACUGAGACACGGUCCAGACUCCUACGGGAGGCAGCAGUGGGGAAUAUUGCACAAUGGGCGCAAGCCUGAUGCAGCCAUGCCGCGUGUGUGAAGAAGGCCUUCGGGUUGUAAAGCACUUUCAGCGGGGAGGCGUUACCCGCAGAAGAAGCACCGGCUAACUCCGUGCCAGCAGCCGCGGUAAUAC